AAGAAAGUGAAAAUUAAUCGCUAGAUUGUAUUUCAUUAUCAUUUUCAAUAACAACUACAUAUCGAGAGUGCAAAAUCGCAUAGUUACAAUCGGUAGUUCCAUUAUAGUCAUGUCUGUUACAACUGUAAAACAGGCAAUGGGUAUCCUGUUCCGAUCUAUUGGUAACAACUAAGAGAUAUUCUGUUCAUAUCCAAUACUUGAUGAACGCCGGAUGAUGGCCAAAAAUUUGGUGGAGCUCAUACUAAUAAUGUCUUGCAUGCGGAUGACUUAGUUUAUGAGUAAUUUUUAUAUCAACCCAACACAAUGACAAGGUAGGCUGCCCAUGUCCGUAUGCGUCCCAAAUUCUAUUUUGGUUAAGAGGAAAAAUCAAGUCAACCGUGAAGUUCACCAUGGCCCUCGAGGAGCUUGUAAAGGCCUUCUUUUGUCCAAUACCAAAUAACCAUGCUAAAAAGAAGAAAACAAUGAUCUCCUCGUACUUGGAAGAAUUAUUGAUGUCCUUGCUGUGGGAAGGAAGAAUACUGCAGAAAACUUUCCUACUUCAAGGUUGUGAGGUGGCCUCGUACUUGGAAGAAUUAUUGAUAUCCUGUGGGAACGAAGAAUAUACCGGAAGGAAGAAUACUGCAGAAAACUUUCCUACUUCAAAGUUGUGAGUUGGCCUCGUACUUGGAAGAAUUAUUGAUAUCCUGUAGGAAAGAAGAAUAUACCGGAAGGAAGAAUACUGCAGAAAACUUUCCUACUUCAAAGUUGUGAAGUGGUCCUGAUAUAUAUUUAUAGUUGAAAAUGUAUACAAUCAGAAUAAUACAGAGAUAGAAGUAAUAAAUGGAUCCUUAUAAUCAAAUUUCUAAACGUAUGCAAUGUCAGAAUUUAUAGUUCAAAAUUUUUAAAAUUAUGAAUCGAUAAAUAUGAGCAAGUUUGGCAUGCGACCUUGAAAGACAUUCAAACCCACCUGUGGAUCUCACAGAAGACUCGGGUAAUCAACGGCCUUCUGGUGAACUCCAGGUUUUGUGUUGCCAUGCUCAUUUCCAAAUAAUAUUGGACUUGGUGCAGAGUCUAAAAGAUAGCAAUUUAACAUUGAGCUAUGAGAGUCCGGACAGUCAAUGAUAGAUGAUAACAAAUCCCUGAGUAAACAGAUGAGGGAAUCCACCUGCGAAACUAUGGAGGAAAAAAAAAAAAAGCUUCAUGUCUCCCAAAACAUCCUCGCAACGUUUUGCAACUCAGGGUUUUGUACAAACAAUUAAAAAACGAAUUUGGCAUUUCGACUCCUUUUUAGCAACCAGAUUAAACAUGGGUGUUUCACAGCAAAAACCAGGUUUAAACACUUUGGGGAUCGAGGUUCUUGAAAAAAAAAAAUAGCAGCACUCAGACGUUUUACAGUAGAUAUGAGGACAAGAAGUAAAUCAAUAUAUGAUGGUGGAGAACUUCUUGGGGAAUAUUAUAAGCAUAUAUACCUGGCACCUUUGCAUCUCCUUCUACCAUGCAUCACCUUCUUUUUUUGAGAAGUUAUACUGAAAAAAUCGCUCGCCGCAACGAAGGGUCGUGCGGUUUACAGAGAGAGAGCACAUCUCUCUCUCAAAGCACCUGAGAGGCUUUGAGAUCAG
rnacentral:lncRNA from 1 species